GUUGGGCAUGGUGGCGCACGCCUGUAAUCCCAGUAGCUUGGGUGGCUGAGGAAGGAGGAUCAUGAGUUCAAAGCCAGCCUCAGCAACUUAGCGAGGGCCUAAGCAACUCAGUGAGACCCUGUCUCUA
rnacentral:sRNA from 1 species